UCCUCUGCAACUCAGAGAAAUCCCAGAGAAAAUAAAGGAACAGGAACAAGGAAUUAAGUAUACGAACGAAAUGUACCUACAGUAUCUUUGGAAGAAGCAUACCCCGUUGAACUGAGGGUACAGAGAUCUCCAGGGAAUCCUGUUCUCCUCGUCUCCCAAGGCCGUUAUCUCCUUUGUGUUAUUACGGAUGAAAUUGGUUGAAACAUAAAACACACAAUGGAUAUUUCAUACUUGAAUAAUACAGAAGAGAGGAGCAGCUUGGAAUGUUUUCCCGGACUGUGCACCUCGACAUGGCAGUGAGAUUUCCAGGGUCAUUCCUGGGCUCUGCGAAGAGUUCACAGCAGGAGUUAUUAAGCUGCAUGAAAUGAUGAGUAGAAGUCUGGAACCCUCAUCUUUUGGAUAAAAUGCUUCCAUUUCUCUAAAUCCUGAAAGUUUUCAUUAUCAUUGAAGCAAAAUGGGUUCUCACAAUCCCUGAAACAGACAAGCCUGUGGGGGAGUACCCUUUGAUGGGCAGACAUUGGCAUUUUUGUGCUGAACAAGCUUCCUGGUCGU